rnacentral:rRNA from 1 species
ACGCUCGACACCUACGGAGGCAGCAGUGGGGAAUAUUGCACAAUGGGGGAAACCCUGAUGCAGCGAUGCCGCGUGAAGGAAGAAGUAUCUCGGUAUGUAAACUUCUAUCAGCAGGGAAGAAAAUGACGGUACCUGACUAAGAAGCCCCGGCUAACUACGUGCCCGCAGCCGCGGUAAUCUGAGCGGGCUGGCAAGGC